CAUCCGUUCCCUAUCGUCGUCGCCGUCAUCCGUAGCCGCGUCCACCGCAUUUCUCAUUGGCCAUUAUUUUCUUUUGGUUUGUUAUCGACGGAAUCUUGUCGUCGUCUUCACCGUUUUCGAGAAGGUACUGAGACCGAUUCGCAGGGCGGGGCUGGGAGCGAGUGAACGUUAGAUGUAGCUAGAUUUGAUUCUAGCCUCUUCGUCUUAUUUCUAUUGCAUUUAGAUAUGAACUUUGAACUUCGUAGAUAAUCAUUGUUUAUCUGUUUCUACUUUGUUAUUUCAUCGUACCCAUAUUUGUUACUUAAAGCACUAGUUAGACUAAAUUUUGUUUGAAUUGCAUAAUAAACUAUAGUUCUGCUUA